GACGAACGCUGGCGGCGUGCUUAACACAUGCAAGUCGAACGGUGAAGCGCUUGCCUUUUUGGUGGGUGUGGAUGAGUGGCGAACGGGGGAGUAACACGUGAGUAACCUGCCCUCUUCUUCUGGAUAACCUCAUGAAAGUGGCGCUAAUACGGGGUAUUCCGUGUCUGUCGCAUCGCGGGUUUGGGAAAGAUUGCGCCUUUGGGUGUUUUCGUUGGGGGUUGGGCAGGCGGCCUAUCAGCUUGCUGGGGGGGUGAUGGUCUAACACGGCGGUGACGGGUGGGCGGCCUGGGAGGGUGGACGGCCACAGUGGGGCUGAGACGCGGCGCAGACUCCUGCGGGAGGCAGCAGUGGAGAAUAGUGAACAAUGGGCGGAAGGAUGAAGCAGCGACGCGGCGUGGGGGAUGGAGGCCGUCGGGUUGUGAACCUCUUUCGCGAGUGAAGCAGGCCUGCCUAGUUUGUGGGUGGGUUGACGGUAGCUGGAGAAGAAGCGCCGGCUAACUACGUG
rnacentral:rRNA from 1 species